GAACCGAACUCACGACCUUGCCCUUGCCAGGCAGGCGCUUUGCCGCUGAGCUAAAUCCCUAGCCCCGGGAAUGCAACUUCAAAUGGUGGUCACAGAUGAUCUAUGGAGAAGGCGACAAUUUGAACCAAGUCUAUGCUUUUUAUUUCCAUGCUAAAUUAAUCAGUAGCAUCUUCUUCAGAGGGGAAAGAGUGAGCCAGGAAUAAUGAACCGAAGACUACGGCUUGCUGCCUUUCAUGGAACCACACGCCUCCUCCAAUGAGAAAAGUAACUAAGACAGCCAUCAAAUAUGAGCCUGGGACAGAAAUCUCAUAAGGCCUGGGGGCCUGGACCUGGAGACUACUUACCUCACCGGGGCAUGAAGCCAUUGCAGGCAGUACUUUUGAAGAGGAAAGCAUAAGACUUCAACAAUGGAAAUUGGAUAAUCCAAGAACACUACUGGAGAGGAAGGAGAGAAAGAAGUGCUUUGAGCUACUCAUGGUCCAGUGAAACCCAGAAGCCAGGCCACACGAGCUAAACUCAACGGGUAGUAAGAAUCACCUGCCUGCCAUGUGCACUUCAGGCCUUUGCCAUCUCCAGCUGCCCAGCUUUAACAGCAAGCUACCAAGUGAGAGAAAUAGCAAGCAGUCUGGUUUCCUCACCACAGAGCUUACAGGAGCAGGGUGAUUACUAGACCACAACUAGCUAUGUUAUGGUCACUCUGUCAUCACCGAGACACAAUACCUGACACCCACAAUGUAAAGGAGAUUGGAAUUAAAAAAAUGACUCUCAUAAGGGUACAAGUAGAUUCCUUUCAGCAGUCCAUUAUUGGGAUGCGAUGAAACAGGAUGUCUUUAGUACAACACGGAUCAACUGAGUCCCCCCCAGCACUUCCAUAUAGCACACUUGAGUUAACAGCUUCAGGAAUAUUUUGAGAAGUAAUAAAACCUGGGAAGAAAUAUGCA